AUAGUGUGAAUCAUGAAUAGUGUAUUUGUAAAGCCGGAUAUAACGGAGUGAAGUGUGAAAACGGUAUGUAAGAUGAUGUCCUGAGUAUAUUGUGGAAUUGACUUAUUUUUAAACCUUUUUGUUCGCAUGUCUUUUCGACAUUUUCUAUAGACAUUAACGAUUGUGCAAAGAGACCAUGUAAAAAUGGUGGAAGAUGUGUUGAUAAAGUGAAUUCUUAUCAGUGUAUUUGUAAAGUUGGAUAUAAUGGAGUAAACUGUGAGAACGGUAUGUAAGACAAUGCACUGAGUAUAUUGUGGAAUUGAUUUAUUUUUAAACCUUUUUGUUCGCAUGUCUUUUCGACAUUUUCUAUAGACAUUAACGAUUGUGCAAAGAGACCAUGUAA